rnacentral:rRNA from 1 species
AGUGAACGCUGGCGGUAGGCCUAACACAUGCAAGUCGAACGGCAGCACAGGAGAGCUUGCUCUCUGGGUGGCGAGUGGCGGACGGGUGAGGAAUACAUCGGAAUCUACUUUUUCGUGGGGGAUAACGUAGGGAAACUUACGCUAAUACCGCAUACGACCUACGGGUGAAAGCAGGGGACCUUCGGGCCUUGCCAGAUUGAAUGAGCCGAUGUCGGAUUAGCUAGUUGGCGGGGUAAAGGCCCACCAAGGCGACGAUCCGUAGCUGGUCUGAGAGGAUGAUCAGCCACACUGGAACUGAGACACGGUCCAGACUCCUACGGGAGGCAGCAGUGGGGAAUAUUGGACAAUGGGCGCAAGCCUGAUCCAGCCAUACCGCGUGGGUGAAGAAGGCCUUCGGGUUGUAAAGCCCUUUUGUUGGGAAAGAAAUCCAGCUGGCUAAUACCCGGUUGGGAUGACGGUACCCAAAGAAUAAGCACCGGCUGACUUCGUGCCAGCCGCCGCCGUAA